rnacentral:rRNA from 1 species
GGUCUUUUGAAAAUGAUUUAAGAUUUGACCUGCCCACUGAAGAUUUAAAUGGCCGCGGUAAUUUGACCGUGCUAAGGUAGCAUAAUCAUUAGUUUUUUAAUUGAAAGCUGGAAUGAAUGGUUGGAUAAGAAAAAAACUGUCUCUAAUUAAAUUAUAUGAAUUUAAUUUUUAAGUUAAAAAGCUUAAAUAAAAUUAAAAGACGAGAAGACCCUAUAGAGUUUAAUAAUUUUGAAAUUUUGAUAUUUAGGUAUUUUAAAAUUUAAGUUUUAGAAUUAUUUGAUUGGGGUGAUUGAAAAAUUUAAUAAACUUUUUUUUAUUAUUACAUUAAUUAGUGAAAAUUUUGAUCCAUUAUUUAUGAUUAUAAGAUUAAAUUACCUUAGGGAUAACAGCGUAAUUUUUUUAGAGAGUUCAAAUCGAUAAAGAAGUUUGCGACCUCGAUGUUGGAUUAAAAUUUAUAUUUGGUGUAGAAGCUAAAAUAUUUGGUCUGUUCGACCAUUAAAAUUU